rnacentral:rRNA from 1 species
UACGUAGGGUGCGAGCGUUAAUCGGAAUUACUGGGCGUAAAGCGUGCGCAGGCGGUUCUGUAAGACAGGCGUGAAAUCCCCGGGCUCAACCUGGGAAUGGCGCUUGUGACUGCAAAGCUGGAGUGCGGCAGAGGGGGAUGGAAUUCCGCGUGUAGCAGUGAAAUGCGUAGAUAUGCGGAGGAACACCGAUGGCGAAGGCAAUCCCCUGGGCCUGCACUGACGCUCAUGCACGAAAGCGUGGGGAGCAAACAGG